rnacentral:rRNA from 1 species
GACGAACGCUGGCGGCGUGCUUAACACAUGCAAGUCGAACGGAAAGGCCCUGCUUUUGUGGGGUGCUCGAGUGGCGAACGGGUGAGUAACACGUGAGUAACCUGCCCUUGACUUUGGGAUAACUUCAGGAAACUGGGGCUAAUACCGGAUAGGAGCUCCUGCUGCAUGGUGGGGGUUGGAAAGUUUCGGCGGUUGGGGAUGGACUCGCGGCUUAUCAGCUUGUUGGUGGGGUAGUGGCUUACAAAGGCUUUGACGGGUAGCCGGCCUGAGAGGGUGACCGGCCACAUUGGGCCUGAGAUACGGCCCAGACUCCUACGGGAGGCAGCAGUGGGGAAUAUUGCACAAUGGGCGGAAGCCUGAUGCAGCAACGCCGCGUGCGGGAUGACGGCCUUCGGGUUGUAAACCGCUUUCGCCUGUGACGAAGCGUGAGUGACGGUAAUGGGUAAAGAAGCACCGGCUAACUACGUG